CUCAGUUUAACAAAUGACAUCUGUAAUGACCCUAUUUCCAAAUAAGGUCACAUUCUGAAGUUCUGGGAAUUUGGGGGUAUGUGUGGGGACACUAUUCAACCAAACUUUUCACCAACUGACAUACCUACAAAUGUUGACAAAAUCAGCAGGGCAGGAGAGUAAAGAAGUGAAACAAUAUACUUCCAAGAAAGAAGCAAAGAGAAGAAAGUUUUCCUCACUGCCACCAUGUGAAGAAGGAUGUGUUUGUUUCCCUUCCUUCAUGAUUAUCAAAUGGAGGUUCCCAUGAUUUUCUUUUUCCUCAUGGAAACAUGUUUGGUCAGAAGGGAAACAAACCAAUUAAGGUGAUACCAAAGGAUGAUCCUUGAUACAGUUGUAUUUUGGUGGAGCGUUGAGAUUCGCCAGUGAACUCUAACAGUGAGGAUGGCACUGGAAUAAAAAGAGAAGAAACAUGUACUAGAAGCCAAAAAACCUUGUCUUAUUUUCUUUGAAAAAAGGAUGCUCUAGCUAAUAAUAGCAAUAGGGUUUCCACAUGUGCUGUGCUGUUAUUGUUGCCUGCAACAAAAGAACAACUUUGAAUAAUGAACAGUCUAGCUUCACAGCAGGACACUGUUCUACAGGGAGGCCCUCAAUU
rnacentral:lncRNA from 1 species